GGAUUGUAACACAAUUACUGUACAAUUUUAAAAGCAGGAUUGUUUUCCUGGCUUGCUUUCCUGCCAGCUGUGCUCUGCUCCUUGGUUGGGCGGUGGGGGCCGCAUCAGUGGUUCAGCCUCGCGCCUCUCAUUGGCCUCCCUGCCCUGUACUUAACCCCAAAUCUUCCUGCAGAAAAGAAUUGCACCCAGGGGCCUCCUGAUGCUCUGUGCACUCACAUGUACAUUUUCAUAAGGGUUUGUUAGGAUGUUUUAAACAGUUCCUGCCCACCCCAGCACCCAGCCCUGCCCAGGCUCCAGCUCUGGAUGUGGUCUGUGUAGGACAAGUGCUGACAGCACAGCCACCAGCAGUGCCCAGCAAGGGGAUGCUGCAGCCAGACUCUGUGACACUGCUGUCCCCAUGGGCAGCACCGCUUGGUGCAGACGCUCCACGAGGCCGGACCAGCACCCACCGUGCUGAGAGCCCAGGCAAAGCACAGCCUGGCACACCAGUUCUCUCAGUGGGGAAGCAGAGAGCUGGAGAGUGUGGAAUUGGGGUUUUUAAGGCGUCUGCUAAAUGUGACGUUACGGUGUGGCUCCUGGUGGUACCACAGCACAGAUUCCCAUCAGCAGUCUCUGCCAGAGGUGGCAAUCUUCCUUUCCCACAAGAGCACGGUAAUGCUGGCCGCACACCCACCCCAGCCUGGGGCAUGGAGCACUGCCAAGCCGCCUCUCUGACUGCUGUCAGGGCACCGAGGGGAAAAGGUGAUAUUAGCAAUUAGAAUAAAAGCAUUUGCAUGUAUAUAAAAGAAGAAAAGGAAAGCUAAACCAAAGCGCUACUAAUACGCAUCUUGGUUAUAGAAGCGACGAUACCAUAAGUCUAUUUAAUUUCUGUCUCAGGAUUGGUCCUGGGGACAUCACCCCCGCAGGAGCAGCCCUGGGCGCACACCUGGGGCGUGAGCGUUACUCAGAGCUCACACGUGCUGCUGUCACAGGUAAUUGGCUCAGCCUCCAUCACUGUCCUCCGCUGCAGCUGGAGCCAGCAGGGGCGGCUCUUAAUUAAAUCUGGCACCAUCAGGGGGUGAAGGACGGGAACGCAGUGCAUCACGAAGCGGACAGGCCUCCAGCUCUGGAAACGCCAUCGGGGUUGUCAGCAAGGAGCAAUGGUUCUCUCUGACACAGCCUCAAUAGAGAAACGUGCUGUGCUGAGCCUGAGCUCCCCAGGACAGCGCUGAGCUGAAGGCAGCACCCACCAGGUGCGAGUGCUGAGGAAGCUCCUGGAAAUAGCUGGCUUUGGAAACCUCGUCCUUAGCUGUGCCAUCUGCCCCGGGGAUGGGCUCAGCAGCUCCAGCGGUCCAUGCUGUCCUUGCAGGGAUGAGCACAGCCCCAAAGUAUAGCGACUGAAGCAGUGCAUAAUUCAGGAUCGUAAAACACUUCCAAGUGUGCAUUAAUUAUAAAUAUAUUGUAAAUGACAGUUUUUUUCCUCGAAGAAGGCACAUUAGAUGUGAUGCAUGGCCCCAGAGGAGUGUGUCAAAUGAGGCUGGUGCCCGCCUGGAGCAGCCUGACCUGCCUGUGUAUUCCCAGGCACGAUGCGAUGAGCUCCAUGCAGUGCCCAUAGUGGUGGGCAGUUGGGAGUUACCAGAGAAGCUCUGCUUGCCCCCAGUGCCCACACCCCACUGUGCCUGGGGAGGAAGAGCGCGGUCAGCUGGCACUUCUACUUCAUCUUGGUCGUGUGUGCACCCAUCUCUUCGUAGAUGCAAAACUCAGUUUCCUCGUGGUGCCUCAGUGGACCAUCUCUGCUCUUUGGGUGUGAAUGCAGCAAGGCUGCAUGGCGCGUUGGCUCUCCCAUGCUCAGAUGUGAUGGUGAAGGGUAUGUGUGCUGCCUUCCUUUUCCUCAGCCCCAUCACGGUGCUUCCAUCUGUCACCUGGUGUGGAUCUGUUCCUCUGGUGUCUGACACGGCAGGCCUGGACUGGGAGCUGAAAUGGUUAGAAGAGGCUGAAGGGUGACUGCUCUCCUGGCUGCAGAGCUGGGGGACACCAGGGAUCCCUGAACCACUGCCCCAUGGCUUGGCCACGGUGCUAACUCUCCUGGUGGCUGUGAAACCCCUCUGUUCUGCUCACUUCUCUGCUGGAAAUAGAAUGCUUUUAACAAAAAAAUCUGAAAAGCUUUUAGAGCUGGGCUGGCAAUGUGAUGCACCCAUGGGAUUUCGGGGGUAAUGAGGUGGGAGGGAGCUGUUGCAGAGGUUGUGUGAGCAUCACAGAGCAGUGCCAGGCUGUGGCCGUGGGGCUGCAGCAUGUGCUGGGUGGUUAACAUUUCAGUUCCCAAAAGCAGAGGGGAGAGCUAAGCCUUGCAGAAGCAUUGGAGUUUGCACUUCUGGAGCCCUUCUCUGGUGAGAGCAAUGCACCUUUCAGUGUUCUCCAUGUAUCAGGAGAGCUUUCCUAAGUGCCAAAGAGCUGCCUUUUUCUUUCUUUUUUUUUUUUUCCUCAGCGCAAAAUGUGUGGCAGGAAAGAACUUCUGCUCUUGACUGAGGAUGUGGUCAGCUGUGGAGCUGAGCUGGGGGUUUAAGGCAACCCACCUGGGGAGCUGAGUCCAGGCUGUGCCACGCUGCUGGGGAGCUGCUGAUUGUGCACAGAAGGCAAGCCACUUUGGACUUCAACAUUUCUCCUGCGGGGCUCCAACGUCAGAACAAAGUCUUGUUGUUAUUUUGCCAAACUGAAGUACUGGGAUGUGGAUGGAGCAAAAACUGAGUAAUCACUGAAUCGUUGAGCUAUCAGUUACCAUCAGUGACAGCUCCUGGAGCUGUUUGGGAAUCCCAGCCGUGAGAAACCUCUAUUGCUUUGGGCCAAGUCCUGCUCCUCCAUGGCUGCUGAAUGAAUGGCCCCUGCCAGUGCUGAAGGACCCUGGAAGAAAAACGUGUCUCUGGUAAAGAAAAAACAACACAGAACAUCCUGAGCUGGAAGGGACACAUCAGGAUCGCUGAGCCCAACUCCGGGCUCCACACAGGACACCCAAAGGUCAGACCACACGUCUGACAGCAUUGCCCACCCACUUCUUGAGCUCUGUCAGCUGUGGUGCCACAACCACAGCCCGGACAGGCUGCUGCAGUGCCCGACCGCCUUCUUAGUGAACAACCUUCUCCUCAGCAGCUCCAGGCCCUCGGGUUCUACCGCUGUCACCAGAGCCCACCGGCGCCCGCCCCUCCUCGCAGCCUUCGGAGCGCCG
ensembl:lncRNA